rnacentral:rRNA from 1 species
ACUAAAAUUGUUGCGGUUAAAAAGCUCGUAGUUGCAUUUGUGCGCCGCGCUGUCGGUGCACCGCAUCCGCGGUGAUACUGACACGUUUGCGGAGCAUAUCGUCGGUGAGCCGACGGUCAAACGUCGGUUCAAUAUCAAAAUCCUAUCGCGGUGCUCUUCAGUGAGUGUCGAGAUGGGCCGACAACUUUACUUUGAACAAAUUAGAGUGCUCAAAGCGGGCUCAAAAUGCUGCUUGAAUAUUUCGUGCAUGGAAUAAUAGAAUAUGAUCUCGGUUCUAUUUUGUUGGUUUUCAGAACUCCGAGGUAAUGAUUAAUAGGGAUAACUGGGGGCAUUCGUAUUGCGACGUUAGAGGUGAAAUUCUUGGAUCGUCGCAAGACGAACAUCAGCGAAAGCAUUUGCCAAAGGUGUUUUCAUCAAUCAAGAACGAAAGUUAGAGGUUCGAAGGCGAUUAGAUACCGCCCUAGUUCUAACCGUAAAUAUGUCAUCUAGCGAUCCGCCGACGUUACUACAAUGGCUCGGCGGGCAGCUUUCGGGAAACCAAAGAUUUUGGACUCCGGGGGGAGUAUGGUUGCAAAGCUGAAACUUAAAGGAAUUGACGGAAGGGCACCACCAGGAGUGGAGCCUGCGGCUUAAUUUGACCCAACACGGGAAAUCUCACCAGGCCCGGACACCGGAAGGAUUGACAGAUUAACAGCUCUUUCUUGAUUCGGUGGGUGGUGGUGCAUGGCCGUUCUUAGUUGGUGGAGCGAUUUGUCUGGUUAAUUCCGGUAACGAACGAGACUCUAGCCUGCUAAAUAGGCGUCGUCAUUUAGGUGUGCGUGGCUCUGUCACGCAACUCACUGGCGACGUAUUAAAAUUCUUCUUAGAGGGACCGGCGGCUUCGAGCCGCACGAGAUUGAGCAAUAACAGGUCUGUGAUGCCCUUAGAUGUCCUGGGCCGCACGCGCGCUACACUGAAGGAAUCAGCAUGUUCUCCCAGGCCUAGAGGCCCGGGCAACCCGUUGAAACUCCUUCGUGCUGGGGAUUGGGGUUUGCAAUUAUCCCCCAUAAACGAGGAAUUCCUAGUAAGCGCGAGUCAUAAGCUCGCGUUGAUUACGUCCCUGCCCUUUGUACACACCGCCCGUCGCUACUACCGAUUGAAUGAUUUAGUGAGGUCUUCGGACCGACACGCGGUGGCUUCACGGCCGUCGGCGUUGCUGGGAAGUUGACCGAACUUGAUCAUUUAGAGGAAGUAAAAGUCGUAACAAGGUUUCCGUAGGGGAACCUGCGGAAG